UAGGUAACCUGCCCAUGUGCCCGGGAUAACUUCUGGAAACGGAUGCUAAAACCGGAUAGGUAGCAGACAAGCAUUUGACUGCUAUUAAAGUGGCUAAGGCCAUGAACAUGGAUGGACCUGCGGUGCAUUAGCUAGUUGGUGAGGUAACGGCCCACCAAGGCGACGAUGCAUAGCCGGCCUGAGAGGGCGGACGGCCACAUUGGGACUGAGACACGGCCCAGACUCCUACGGGAGGCAGCAUG
rnacentral:rRNA from 1 species